rnacentral:rRNA from 1 species
GUCUACGGCCAUGCCACCCUGAACACGCCGGAUUCCAUCUGAUCUCGGAAGCUAAGCAGAGUCGGGCCUGGUUAGUACUUGGAUGGGAAACCACCUAGGAAGACAAGGUGCUAUAAGCA